rnacentral:rRNA from 1 species
CUGCCGAGAAGUGGGGGAUAGCUCGCCGAAAGGCGAAUUAAUACCGCAUAUGAUCAGGGAAGACAUCUUUCCGACAUCAAAGCCGGGGCAACCUGGCGCUUUUUGAUGAGCCCGCGGCCUAUCAGCUAGUUGGUGAGGUAACGGCUCACCAAGGCAUUGACGGGUAGCUGGUCUGAGAGGACGACCAGUCACACUGGAACUGAGACACGGUCCAG